rnacentral:misc_RNA from 1 species
GAACUGCGAUAAGUAAUGUGAAUUGCAGAAUUCAGUGAAUCAUCGAGUCUUUGAACGCACAUUGCGCCCCCUGGCAUUCCGGGGGGCAUGCCUGUCCGAGCGUCAUUGCUGCCCUUCAAGCCCGGCUUGUGUGUUGGGUCGUCGUCCCCCCCGGGGGACGGACCCGAAAGGCAGCGGCGGCACCGUGUCCGGUCCUCGAGCGUAUGGGGCUUUGUCACCCGCUCGAUUAGGACCUGCCGGGCGCCCGCCGGCGUCAAACCCCAAUCUUUCUAAGGUUGACCUCGGAUCAGGUAGGGAUACCCGCUGAACUUAAGC